GCACCGGCCUCGGGGCCUAGCGUUGGACGGUCAGCCGGAGGGACCAAGAACUGCCGGCGGCCGAGCUGGUGUAGCGCUGGCGCCGCCGCCUGCCCCGGGGGGGAACUGCAGCCUGUCCGAGCCAGUUCGCUCAGAAAGGCUUUUCUGGGCUAGAUGCUGGGGACGUGAGGAGUGAGACACACUGAUGAAGAGGACACUACAAAGCACUGUGAAUGUGAGCUCCUCCCAGGUGAAGAUCUGGUUUACGUCCUUCAGUGACUAGAACAGUUGCCUGGCACCUAUCAAAAGCUCAAGACCUGUUAAGCAUGACUGAAGUUUGAUGUUUGCUCAUAGUGUGAGUGUGCCUGAUGCCACUCAGUUGUACUCUUAAAAGUGUCUCGGGGCGCCUGGGUGGUGCAGUCGGUUAAGUGUCCGACUUCAGCCAGGUCAUGAUCUCACGGUCCGUGAGUUCGAGCCCCGCGUCAGGCUCUGGGCUGAUGGCUCAGAGCCCGGAGCCUG